AGGACGAACGCUGGCGGCGUGCCUAACACAUGCAAGUCGAACGGGACCAGGGGCAACUCUGGUUCAGUGGCGGACGGGUGCGUAACACGUGAGGAACAUGACCCUUCGGCGGGGGAUAGCCGGCCCAACGGCCGGGUAAUACCGCGUACGACCACUCGGGGACAUCCCCAGGUGGUGAAAGCAGCAAUGCGCCGAUGGAGUGCCCCGUCGGCCGUACUCAGCUAGUUGGUGAGGUAACGGCGUCACCAAGGCGACGACGGGUAGGC
rnacentral:rRNA from 1 species